rnacentral:rRNA from 1 species
AGAACGAACGCUGGCGGCAUGCCUAAUACAUGCAAGUCGAACGAGAUCUUCGGAUCUAGUGGCGCACGGGUGCGUAACGCGUGGGAAUCUACCCUUGGGUUCGGAAUAACAGUUGGAAACGACUGCUAAUACCGGAUGAUGACGAAAGUCCAAAAGAUUUAUCGCCCAAAGGAUGAGCCCGCGUAGGAUUAGCUAGUUGGUGAGGUAAAGGCUCACCAAGGCUACGAUCCUUAGCUGGUCUGAGAGGAUGAUCAAGCCACACUGGGACUGAGACACGGCCCAGACUCCUACGGGAGGCACGCACGUAGGGAAUAUUGGACAAGUGGGGCAACCCUGAUCCAGGCAAUGCCGCGUGAGUGAUGAAGGCCUUAGGGUGUAAAGCUCUUUUACCGAGAUGAAUAAUGACAGUACUACGGGAG